rnacentral:rRNA from 1 species
GUGAAAUUGUUGAAAGGGAAACGAUUAAAGUCAGUCAUGCCGGUGGAAAAUCAGCUCAUGGGCUACUGUGAGUGCACUUUUUCGCAUGGCAGGUCAAUAUUAGUUUUUCUUGGGUCAUAAUCAUUGUAGAAAGGUAGCUCCUUCGGGAGUGUUAUAGACUACUUUAGAUGGCCUAAUAUAGACUAAGGAUUGCAGCGAAUGCCUUUUUUUAGGCUACAGUUCUUUCUCUGUAACCCGUUGAUUAGGUGUCAGCUUUGCUGACUUUUAGUCAAUUGGAUGACAGUAAGUAGGAAACCGAUAAAUUCGCUAAGGAUGUUGACGUAAUGGCUUUAAACGAC